UGAGGGAAUAUUUGGGUCAAUGGACGAGAGUCUGAACCAGCCAAGUAGCGUGCAGGAUGACGGCCCUCCGGGUUGUAAACUGCUUUUAGUUGGGAAUAAAAAAGAUGACGUGUCAUCUAUUGUAUGUACCAUCAGAAAAAGGACCGGCUAAUUCCGUGCCAGCAGCCGCGGUAAUACGGAAGGUCCAGGCGUUAUCCGGAUUUAUUGGGUUUAAAGGGAGCGUAGGCGGAGAGAUAAGUCAGCGGUAAAAUCGUGCGGCUCAACCGUACCUCGCCGUUGAUACUGGUGGUCUUGAGUGCGCGCAGGGGCGUUGGAAUUCAUGGUGUAGCGGUGAAAUGCUCAGAUAUCAUGAAGAACUCCGAUCGCGAAGGCAGAUGCCCGGAGCGCAACUGACGCUGAGGCUCGAAAGUGCGGGUAUCAAACAGGAUUAGAUACCCUGGUAGU
rnacentral:rRNA from 1 species